ensembl:miRNA
CUGACAAGGGAAGGGGAGACGGUGGAACUUAUCCAGAGUGUGUGUAGUUGAGGUGACACUGUCCCCACCUCCAG